GUUGUUAGAAACUGAAGUUGGAUUCUCUCAGAAGUGAAAUCAAGCUUCACUUCUCAGGUCCAUCUAACACAGCGAAAUGAAGAAAGGGAAUAAGAAACUUAAAAAUUCCCUGGGAAUUUUUUCCUGGGAGAUGAAUUCUAGAUGGAUUCUACAUUAUGAGAUGGAGGACUGAAACUUUCAAAGUAUUCUUUUCACUCUACACAGAUUGCUCAAAGGGCUAACUAUCUGAAAACUACUUUUCCUGGAUUCCUUAUCAGCAGAGCGCAAGUUUAUAGAUUCUGCCAGCGACAGAGACCUGACAAAAAUGUCCACUUCAGCAAGGUGGUCUGCAGUGGCUAUGUCGGUCCCUGCAUGUUCUUCCUCCUGACAGCCUCGCAUCUCAGCCAGGGUGAAGGUUCUGUAAGCUAUUUCUUUUUAUUUCAAACAGCUCCCUUCCUGACAGUCUUAGUCUAGUUUCAAGUCCUAACCAGACUUUGACAGGAACACUCUCUUCUGAGUUUACUGUCAGGAAAAAUUAGGAAAUGAGAAAAAAGCUCUUAACAGAUAUGAAGAACUCGCCAAAACGCUCUAGGCCAAGUAUAAAUCAGAGCGCGAUGAAGUACAAUACUCACACGGAGGCUGGAGGCUCUGGACUCAAACACAGAGUCAAACCCAAGGAGGACACUUUGUGUCCCCCCCGCUGCAGGCACCAUAGAGUUGCACAGCAGUCCCCAAGCCUGUUAGCUGAGAACUGGCAAUGCGUAAGAAAUGAAG